rnacentral:piRNA from 1 species
UGCUUGCACCUUUGACUCUGGUAAC